rnacentral:rRNA from 1 species
AGCGUACACGGUGGAUGCCCUGGCAGUCAGAGGCGAUGAAGGACGUGCUAAUCUGCGAUAAGCGUCGGUAAGGUGAUAUGAACCGUUAUAACCGGCGAUUUCCGAAUGGGGAAACCCAGUGUGUUUCGACACACUAUCAUUAACUGAAUCCAUAGGUUAAUGAGGCGAACCGGGGGAACUGAAACAUCUAAGUACCCCGAGGAAAAGAAAUCAACCGAGAUUCCCCCAGUAGCGGCGAGCGAACGGGGAGCAGCCCAGAGCCUGAAUCAGUGUGUGUGUUAGUGGAAGCGUCUGGAAAGGCGCGCGAUACAGGGUGACAGCCCCGUACACAAAAAUGCACAUGCUGUGAGCUCGAUGAGUAGGGCGGGACACGUGGUAUCCUGUCUGAAUAUGGGGGGACCAUCCUCCAAGGCUAAAUACUCCUGACUGACCGAUAGUGAACCAGUACCGUGAGGGAAAGGCGAAAAGAACCCCGGCGAGGGGAGUGAAAAAGAACCUGAAACCGUGUACGUACAAGCAGUGGGAGCACGCUUAGGCGUGUGACUGCGUACCUUUUGUAUAAUGGGUCAGCGACUUAUAUUCUGUAGCAAGGUUAACCGAAUAGGGGAGCCGAAGGGAAACCGAGUCUUAACUGGGCGUUAAGUUGCAGGGUAUAGACCCGAAACCCGGUGAUCUAGCCAUGGGCAGGUUGAAGGUUGGGUAACACUAACUGGAGGACCGAACCGACUAAUGUUGAAAAAUUAGCGGAUGACUUGUGGCUGGGGGUGAAAGGCCAAUCAAACCGGGAGAUAGCUGGUUCUCCCCGAAAGCUAUUUAGGUAGCGCCUCGUGAAUUCAUCUCCGGGGGUAGAGCACUGUUUCGGCAAGGGGGUCAUCCCGACUUACCAACCCGAUGCAAACUGCGAAUACCGGAGAAUGUUAUCACGGGAGACACACGGCGGGUGCUAACGUCCGUCGUGAAGAGGGAAACAACCCAGACCGCCAGCUAAGGUCCCAAAGUCAUGGUUAAGUGGGAAACGAUGUGGGAAGGCCCAGACAGCCAGGAUGUUGGCUUAGAAGCAGCCAUCAUUUAAAGAAAGCGUAAUAGCUCACUGGUCGAGUCGGCCUGCGCGGAAGAUGUAACGGGGCUAAACCAUGCACCGAAGCUGCGGCAGCGACGCUUAUGCGUUGUUGGGUAGGGGAGCGUUCUGUAAGCCUGUGAAGGUGUGCUGUGAGGCAUGCUGGAGGUAUCAGAAGUGCGAAUGCUGACAUAAGUAACGAUAAAGCGGGUGAAAAGCCCGCUCGCCGGAAGACCAAGGGUUCCUGUCCAACGUUAAUCGGGGCAGGGUGAGUCGACCCCUAAGGCGAGGCCGAAAGGCGUAGUCGAUGGGAAACAGGUUAAUAUUCCUGUACUUGGUGUUACUGCGAAGGGGGGACGGAGAAGGCUAUGUUGACCGGGCGACGGUUGUCCCGGUUUAAGCGUGUAGGCUGGUUUUCCAGGCAAAUCCGGAAAAUCAAGGCUGAGGCGUGAUGACGAGGCACUACGGUGCUGAAGCAACAAAUGCCCUGCUUCCAGGAAAAGCCUCUAAGCAUCAGGUAACAUCAAAUCGUACCCCAAACCGACACAGGUGGUCAGGUAGAGAAUACCAAGGCGCUUGAGAGAACUCGGGUGAAGGAACUAGGCAAAAUGGUGCCGUAACUUCGGGAGAAGGCACGCUGAUAUGUAGGUGAAGCGACUUGCUCGUGGAGCUGAAAUCAGUCGAAGAUACCAGCUGGCUGCAACUGUUUAUUAAAAACACAGCACUGUGCAAACACGAAAGUGGACGUAUACGGUGUGACGCCUGCCCGGUGCCGGAAGGUUAAUUGAUGGGGUCAGCGCAAGCGAAGCUCUUGAUCGAAGCCCCGGUAAACGGCGGCCGUAACUAUAACGGUCCUAAGGUAGCGAAAUUCCUUGUCGGGUAAGUUCCGACCUGCACGAAUGGCGUAAUGAUGGCCAGGCUGUCUCCACCCGAGACUCAGUGAAAUUGAACUCGCUGUGAAGAUGCAGUGUACCCGCGGCAAGACGGAAAGACCCCGUGAACCUUUACUAUAGCUUGACACUGAACAUUGAGCCUUGAUGUGUAGGAUAGGUGGGAGGCUUUGAAGUGUGGACGCCAGUCUGCAUGGAGCCGACCUUGAAAUACCACCCUUUAAUGUUUGAUGUUCUAACGUUGACCCGUAAUCCGGGUUGCGGACAGUGUCUGGUGGGUAGUUUGACUGGGGCGGUCUCCUCCUAAAGAGUAACGGAGGAGCACGAAGGUUGGCUAAUCCUGGUCGGACAUCAGGAGGUUAGUGCAAUGGCAUAAGCCAGCUUGACUGCGAGCGUGACGGCGCGAGCAGGUGCGAAAGCAGGUCAUAGUGAUCCGGUGGUUCUGAAUGGAAGGGCCAUCGCUCAACGGAUAAAAGGUACUCCGGGGAUAACAGGCUGAUACCGCCCAAGAGUUCAUAUCGACGGCGGUGUUUGGCACCUCGAUGUCGGCUCAUCACAUCCUGGGGCUGAAGUAGGUCCCAAGGGUAUGGCUGUUCGCCAUUUAAAGUGGUACGCGAGCUGGGUUUAGAACGUCGUGAGACAGUUCGGUCCCUAUCUGCCGUGGGCGCUGGAGAACUGAGGGGGGCUGCUCCUAGUACGAGAGGACCGGAGUGGACGCAUCACUGGUGUUCGGGUUGUCAUGCCAAUGGCACUGCCCGGUAGCUAAAUGCGGAAGAGAUAAGUGCUGAAAGCAUCUAAGCACGAAACUUGCCCCGAGAUGAGUUCUCCCUGACUCCUUGA